UGGGGAAUAUUGGACAAUGGGCGCAAGCCUGAUCCAGCCAUUCCGCGUGAGUGAUGAAGGCCUUAGGGUUGUAAAGCUCUUUUAGCAGGGAAGAUAAUGACGGUACCUGCAGAAAAAGCCCCGGCUAACUUCGUGCCAGCAGCCGCGGUAAUACGAAGGGGGCUAGCGUUGCUCGGAAUUACUGGGCGUAAAGCGCGCGUAGGCCGUCUUUUAAGUCGGACGUGAAAGCCCUCGGCUCAACCGGGGAACUGCGUUCGAUACUGGGAGACUUGAGUCCUGGAGAGGGUGGCGGAAUUCCGGGUGUAGGAGUGAAAUCCGUAGAUAUCCGGAGGAACACCGGUGGCGAAGGCGGCCACCUGGACAGGUACUGACGCUGAGGCGCGAAAGCGUGGGGAGCAAACA
rnacentral:rRNA from 1 species